UCGCCACGGUAAGACCAGCCCCGCGAGUGGUCGGGACGAUUAUUGGGCCUAAAGCGUCCGUAGCCGGCCCGGCAAGUCCCUCUUUUAAAAGCCCACGGCUCAACCGUGGGAGCGGAGGGAUACUGCCGGGCUAGGGGGGCGGGAGAGGCCGGGGGUACUCCUGGGGUAGGGGCGAAAUCCGAAAAAUCCCCGGGAGGACCACCAGUGGCGAAGGC
rnacentral:rRNA from 1 species